AGAAAUUCAUUUAAAAAAAAAAAAAAAAACCUAGGGGAUUUUGCUCAUUCGUGUUCUAGUUGAUCAUCCACUUUCCUCCCCAUUAUGCCCUGCUUUCUAUGCUCAUUGGCUCAGCCUCAUCAGCUUACGGAUUUAUUAGAGUCAACAGGGCCCAGUUUAUUCAUCUUUGAAAACAUGUUGCCAUAAAACUUGGCUUCUUUCU
rnacentral:misc_RNA from 1 species